CCUUUAUAGGUUCGGCAGUGGGCAACGGUGAUCGCUCCGGCGAUCACCGGCAGGACCAAUGCGAGGCGUAGGAAUACACCAUGAACGCUACCAAGGGCACAUGCACACACUUUUUACCCCGGUUCGGGCCACCUUGUGGUGUAAAACCCUACGUCCUGCUUGUCUGAGCUUGUAUCACUGUAAAAUCGGCUGUUUACAGGUUGCCGGGGAAGGGUCCCCGGGUGCUCUCUUUUUGGCUAAAUGUUCCUUUCUACUUCGGGCUACUCCCAGUGUUGCGCUACGAGUUGGCUCUGUAAACGAACCAACGAACGAACUGAAUGCCAGAAAAACGAAGCAAAAGCUGAACCCUUUGACCGUAGGCGAGGGUCCUCCUUUUGUAGCCAAGGGGAUACCACAUGUGUCACGGUGCAUGGUUUACAAGUGGCGAGAAAGGAGCUUAGGUAGCUCCCCCUCGGCGCGCUGGCAUGCAUGCAUGAGCGCCAACCCCGCUGCUAGGGGUCUAGAGCCUAACAAAUAGGACUGGACAGCCACUGUUCGCCCGACUACGGAUAACGCUCCUUCUGUCGGCUCACUAAAUGCAUAGCACGCUUCACUCCUCGCCCUCGUGGAACUGUUCAUUGGGCGCAUGGCACGCGCCCACGUGGCCUCGCUGCUCCGCUCGCUCGGCCCCGCCCUCACAGCAGGAACCUGCGCCCGGGAAACCCUCCUCCCGGCAAGUGACUUCCCGGGAGGCGCCCAGGCAGGAGUAUUCCCUAAAGCCCCGCUAGCCCUUCUGGGCUGGUAGCUUGCCGGGCAGCCUGUACGUUGCUGCCCGGGGUGUGAUCCUCCCGGGAACUCAGCGAUGCAACCCACGCGUCGUGCAACGGUGGUACCUCGGGUGCCACUGGUGCAACAGUUCUAUUGGCCUACCAUGGUGCAAGACGCAAUCAUCAUAUUGCGGAAAUGCGAAGUUUGCCAGAAUAUGGCUAAGUCAAACCAUGCGCCCGUGGCUUCCCUGAAGAAUAUCCCGAUAACAUCGCCAUUUGCAUGCUGGGGAAUGGACCUUCUCGGGCCUUUCCCCGCAUGCAAUGGGGGCUGCAAGUACCUCGUGGUGACGAUUGAUUACUUCUCCAGAUGGAUAGAACCAGCGCCGCUUGGCAAGAUCACGUCACAGGCCGUUCAGAAUUUUUUCUAGGAAAACAUCAUAUGCCGAUAUGGCGUCCCACGAGAGCUAACCGUGGACAACGGCAAACAGUUCGACUGUGCGGAAUUCAUCAAAUCCUGUGAAUGCCUUGAGAUCAAGCUGCACUUCGCAUCCGUAGCCUACCCCAAGAGCAACGGUGCAUGCGAAAGGGCAAAUGGACUAAUCCUCCAAGGACUCCAUCGAAGGAUAGAGCACACGGUUAGCAAAGCAAGAGGAGCAUGGGGAGAUGAACUCGCUAGCGUGGUUUGGGGCAUACGCACAUCCAUUAGCCGUUCCACGGGCCGAACACCAUUCUCUUUGGUGUAUGGAGUCGAAGCAGUUCUUCCCGCCGAGGUCGAGUUCCGCUCACGUCGGGUCGAAAGGCUCCAAGAAGCCACCCCAAUUGCCUUCAUCGAAAAUGAAGAGCAUCACAAGACGACCAUCGAUCUUGUGGAAGAAGCUCGUGACAAAGCCCUCAUGAGGCACGCCGUCUACGACCAAAGCGCCGCACGCUUGUACAACACAAGGGUGAGGGAACGAGCCUUCUCCCAAGGAGAUCUCAUGCUGAAAAAGAACGUCGACCCAAAGCUCCAGCGCAAACUCGACCCUACAUGGGAAGGACCAUACCGCAUCGCCGUAGUAUUGGGAAAUGAUGCAUACCACCUCGAGAAUAUGGAAGGACAAAACCUUGUCCAUGCCUGGAAUGGCGACAAGCUUCGGCAUUUCUACGCCUAAGGAGGAACUUCAAGGGCAAUUCUUGCCGCUCCCAAAAGAAGACUAUCAGCGCCCAACCGGCCUUUUCCCUACGAAACUUCGAGGGAUCGUAAUCGCCAAUGAGGCCACGUCUACAUAAGGCUUGUAAGUGCCCAUCGGGGCAUACCUUAAGACAGGGAAGUAAGGAUCAAUAAAGUAAGUUCUUGAGGAAAAUUUAAGAGUGACACGAGACACUCACAUGACUCAUCGUCGUAACAAAGCCGCUACCCCUGUGCCGCUCACCGAGGAACACGGAAAGGCCUCCGUUGGCCCGAGCAUCCUCUAAAAAUGUCCACAGACAUAGGUUGCUACUAGCGACUCGUUCCUUGGUGGAUCCUAGCGUGCCUCAAGGCCAUCCACCAAGUAGAACCAAGUCCCCCGAGGGCCGGAAGUUCCUUAAAACGCAUUUAAGGGGAACCGUAAAUAAGCGAGUUAUGCAUAAGCUUACUUACCUCGGAGAACCAUGCUACCCGUAUGCGAGACGUCGCGCACGGGUCUGCAUGAUAGUAAUCGGGUUAAGGCUCCAUAAUAAUCGUGGGAAAGCAUAGCUUCUUAAAGUCCGAGGAGGGAAAAUUCCAUAUGAAAUUUCCCGAACGGCAUGUCGAAAUGUCCGGAUCACUACCGCCAUAUCGAUAGCGACCCUCACAAGGGUACUAGGACCCAUGGCUCGUAACCAUGGCCUAAGGCGCCGAAGCCGAGUCGUAUCCAAACGGCGACAUCAAUUGAUAACACAAAAGUGUAAUCAUAGCGAACGAUCGCGAGCUGUAUAAACUGAGGAAAUAUAGUACUUCACAAGAAGGAAAUAUAGUACUCCAAGAAAGACAUGUUGAGCCAAGUUAACAUUUCCGAUAAUGUCGACUACGUGGUGAAACAUGAGAAAUACAUGCUGAGCUAAGUUAACAUUUCCGAUAAUGUUGACUACAUAAUGAAGCAUGAAUCACAACAAAAAAGCUCCCUAACAACCUGUACGACCAAAAGCCUAAACAUGCUAGCCAUGAAGCUAAGUCAAGUGGAGAUAUGCAACAUCGCAUAAGUAAACUGCUGAGGUACAUCACCACCUCCGAGGGCGACGAGGCUCAUACCUCACCGUCACCCUCCUGAAGUGCGGGCUCGAGGCAACGCACGAAGCGUCGAGCCUGAGCGCGAAGAGGAGCACCCUGGUCCGCCAGAAACUUCUUCGCCCCUUGAGACAUCUCACCCUCAAGUCUGCUCAUCCCGGCACUGCCUCCAGGACUGCCGCACCCGCCGAUGAAACAAGUCGAGCACCCGUAUUCAGGAGGCACUUCUUCACGGUAGGCUCAAUGAGCUCCACCUGGGAAGUAAGCACCCUGCUCGCCUCAUCCACCGUACGACACGGAGGAAGAUCCGGCUUGGAAACACUCCUCAAGAAAAUCAUCGUCUCCCGAAUCUCGGUGGCCUGAGCAAGUAAAAGCGAGAUCAGGUCGGGACGGCGAUCCGGAGGAGGGCGACCACGAGGAGCAAGCAUCGGGCCAUCACCCGCUGCUGCUAACUCCACCUUGAGGGAAGCAGCCUCCGCACGGGCAUGCUCCCUAUCAAGGUUGGCCACCACCAAGUCCUCCUCAACUCGACGGGUCCUCGCGAUCUCGUCCUUCUAGCCGGCCUGGCUACAACGGCGAGCUCUGCCAAAACGUGGGAAAGCUCAGCCUCCACGGCCUCAUGCCGCACCCUCUCUGAAGCCAACUCACUCAAGGCAAGGGUAGACUUGGACAUCUCCACGUCCAAAGCAGCAGAAAGCGCCCCCACCUGAGUCUUGAGGGCAGGAAGGGCACCCACGGCCUCGACCAAACCCCUCACCUACGAGGAAGGUGGAGUUAGCACAAAGAAAACCCGAAGGACCAAGGGAGACAUGUCACGGACGCUCACCAGCUCCAGUGUCACGAGAGGAUCUCUCGCUCCAUCCUCGGUCAUCGGAAGUGCUCCGUCCGUCACUUGAGUCGGGGGCUCGCCCUCAGGAACCCCGGGCUCCGCGACUCUCGCACCUAAAACAAACCAAGGAAAUCAUCAGGGGCGGGCCUACGGCCCGUGCUACCCGGGCUGUAGCACGGGUCUAGCCCAAGUGAAGAACACAGCAGACAUGAUAAGCCCAGCCUGGCAGCCCCCCCAAGGCCCAGCCGUCCGUGCAGCCCAGUAGGCCGAAGUGACCGCUUGGUGUCUCCCUUGCUCGACGCGUAUCGAUCAAUCCUGGCUCUCGCCGUUCCGCUAUGUUGGUCACCAAAAAUCCUACUGUAGCUCGCUCGUUAGGUUUGGGAAAAAAAAUCUCCACACCCAAAUAGAUACUUUUGGUUUGCUGAUUCAUUUCAAAACAUCUUUGAUUGGUAUUUAUCUAAGAAAAAAGGUACUCCCUUCGUUUCAUAAUUUUUGUCUCAAAAUUGCCCAAAAAAUUGAUGUAUCUAUUUCUAAAAAGCGUCUAGAUACAUGUAAUAUUCGACAAGAAUUGUGGAACGGUGGGUUUAUUUAUCUAAGAAAAAUGUAUUUUUGUAUGUCUUUAGACUUUUUUGGAGACUAAUGGUGUUUGGGCCGAUGAGUUCAUGCUUUUGCUACCGUAAAUUUCAUUGUCAUCUAACAAAAAUUUAGUUUGUCAUAAGUUAGCCCCCUCCUUCAUUCAUUCCCGGGUCCGCCACUGGAAAUCAUGUCAAAAUCUUCAGAAAAAGAACGUCAUGACCAAAGAAAAGGGCACUCACCCGAGGUAGGAGCAUCCUCCUCGGGACGCUCGUGACCAAUGGAGAACACCUGGAUGCCCGCACUACUAGCUCCGGUCGACAACUCCACCACUGAGUCGCUCCGAAGCCGAAGCCCCGUCUCGCGAGUGAAAGCCUCAACCUCGUGGCUUGAAGGAGGAAGAACUUGCUCAAGUACAAUCUUCUCCUUCAUGUGCAGAUCCAAGGUCACUCUCAGGGGGGACCUUGACUCACCCACGACGGGAUCCGCCGAAUCCGCCAGGGCGUAGUCAAGAGAAGGAGAAUGAGUCGGGGGAGCUUUCCUCUUGCAUCCACUCGACAGACGAGGCACCUUGGGGACCGGCAUGACAGGCACCGCCAGGCCCAACACCGCCAUUCCCGCCUUCACCUUCCCGCAAGAGUCCCGCAACUUGGACCCCACCACCAACAUUGACGGUGUCGCCAAGCGGGAGUAGCGAUCGCCCACUCAGAGAAGGCGACCAAGCUUCGGGUCCUGUCGCAUCGGCACCAUCUUCCCGAAGCACUUCGCGAUGAUGUUGUGGCAUCCCCCACUGCUGAUCUUGGUCUCAUAGUCGUGAUGCUCCGGCCCGCCAUACGGACCUAUCAGCUGCGCGGCCCACAACGCCGCCCUCUCCUCGGAAAAUGUCGCUGAAAAAAGACAAGCCAAAAUUGUUAAGUAUAUCCGCAAGGAAAAAACAAUUGAAGCACAAAGGGAAGAGGAGUGGCACUCACGAGCGGUGACAAGCUAUGGAGAACAGAAAGAUCGAGGGAUCCCAAUCUCGGACCUCGGACGACUCCUCAUCAUAAAGCGCCCCGCCAUCACCAUCUCCUCCAUGAGGUCAUGAAAGCUCCUCUCGGCGGACACCUCCUUGAUCUUGGCCACCUUCCAGAGGUUGGCUGACCGAGGCUCCUCGAGGUGAGGCACCUCCCUAAGGCCUCCUGCCCCAGAGUGCCGAGGGAGAUCACCCAUGUGCCGAAGACGGGUCUUCGAGGCCCGAAGGAAAAACCACCGGGACUCCCACGUGACGAACAACUUCUCCGUGCUCUUCCCCGGCAUGAGCAGGAAGUCGUCCCCAAAGCCGGAACGAAGCAUCAGGAUCACCGAACCAAAGGCGCUCAGAGCAAAGCCGUCCGGAGUGAGCAACUCCAUCACCUCCCGGUGAAGUAGAACAGCAGAAGCUUCAUCAAAGGCUCCUGGUGAAGAGCCGUCUCACACAGCCACCUGAAAACGUUCAACCUCACGAUCAUUGACGAGUAAAGCUGGGCCAACUCGAUGCCGUACGUCUCCAGGAACUCCAACAAGAAGGGGUGAACGGGCACACACAAGCCGGUGUGAAACCAAGCCGAGAAUGCCACGAUGCAUCCCGGACGCCGCCGCUGGUCGAGCCUAACCUCCUCUCCAUCGAGCAGGAUACCGUCCCCCUUGGGGAAGUAUCCUGCUUCCUCUAGCUAGGCGAGAUCCUCGGGGCUCAUCGAAGAAGGAAGAAGGUGGUCAUGUGCCCAACCUCCGCCGUACACCGGCGCAGUCGGAACAGGGGGAGGACCGCCACAAGGGCGGAAGGAGACCUUCUUCUUCCGCGACGGUCGGUUCGCCGCAAGCUGCGCCAUGAACCCCUUGGAAGACCCUCACGAUGGCUCACCGGCCGGACGCUCGACAUCGAGUCCCGCCAUCUCACCUGCAAAAAGAUCCGCCAAGAAUUAGCAAAGUGCGGAAAAAUUCCGAAAGGAGUCGACCAAAAAAAGGAGGAGCCAAGCUCGUCGGGCCGAGACGCCCAGCCACAUCGCCAAAGCAAAAAAAAAGGAGCCGAGCCCCUCAGGCCACCCGGCCUUGUCGUCGCACGGGGCUCCGACACCGGGGGCGUGCGGUCACGCCCCUUUUUUAGGUUCGGCAGGGGCGUCGGGGAUCGCUCCAGCGAUCGCCGGCAUGGCCGAUGGGCCUACGCAACCUGCAAAGUAAUGUACACCGGAUGCAUGCAAGCUAAGAACACAUGCACACACGUUUUUACCCAGGUUUGGGCCACCCGGAGGUGUAAAACCCUACGUCCUGCCUGCCUGAACUGGUAUUGACUAUAGAUCAAGUGUUUACAAGUUAACGGGGGGAGGGUCCCCGGGCGUUCUCUUUCUGGCUAUGUGCUCUUCACUGCUUUAGGGUACUGCUAAUGGCUAAGUGUGAGUCCAUUUAUCCGUCAGAUUGUGGAACCGUGGAACCCCUUGACCGCCGGCGGGGGUCCUCCUUUUAUACUGAACGGGAUACCACAGGUGCCGCGGCACAUGCAUUACAAGUGUCGAUCAGGGAGACAUGCAACUCCCCCUCGGUGAGCUGGUGGCGUGCAUGGGUGACAACCCGCUGCUAGGGGUCUAAGACCCUAGAGGUAGGAUUGGACAUCCACUUUUCACCUGAUUUGGACGGGUAACACCCCUCCUGUCGGCUCAUUUAAUGCGCCGUGCGCCUCACUCCUCACCCUAGUGAGACUGCGCACCCGACGCCCGUCACACGCCCGCGUGGCGCUGUUGCUCUGUCCGCUGAGCCCCACCUUUGUGGCAGGACCUGCGCCCGGGAACUCCUCCUCCCGGCAAGUCACUCCCCGGGAAGCGCCCAGGCCAAACACACCCGGGAACCCCCCUCCCGGGAUGCGGCUUCCCGGGAGGUGUCCAGGCGGGAAUAUUUCCCGAAGCCCCACUAGCCCUUCCUGGCUGGUAGCUUGCCGGGUUGCUCGUGGCUGCUGCCCGGGACGAGAUCCUCCCGGGAACUCAGAGACGGGGCCCACGUGUCGCGCAACGGUGGUACUCCUGGUGCCACGGGUGCGACAGUAGGCCCCGGGCGUGGGCCGGCAUCACCUGUUCCCGGACGAGCCUUCCCUAGGUCAGUUGCCGGGCUACGCCCACAACCGACGCGUGGGCCCUGAUUCACCUCGGGCCUGCGUCCCUUCGUUGCCCUAAUACCACGCCGUUACAGACGGAGUAAUAGGCGCGUGAUUUCCACCCUAACCUCCCCCUUAAACAGGGAAGUUAAGGCCACUCCGCGCAUUACUCCUUUUGAUUAGGAGUUAUCCCCGCGCACCCGUAGGGUACGGAACCGGCCGUUACCAAACGGCCGGGUGUUAUAAAGAUUUUACCACUGCCCAAAAGGGGAAAGCACUCUAUUCCCCACGGCCUUUGUCUUCACCCUCCUUUCGCACCUCGCAUCCAAUUGUUCUUGCUAGCUUCCACCUUCGUCCCCCAUGGCGCCCCCCACCACCAGGAAGGGAAAAGAGGUGCAGGUCUCAAAGAGAGCGGCAGCCAGCAAGAGCGAGGCGGCAACCAAGGCAGCCGCCGUCAAAGACCAGAAGAAGCAGGAGAUGCGGGCCACGCUCGCCUUCUACCGGCCUGGCUACAACGGCGAGGCGCUGGACUACAUCCGACAUGCUGUCGCCUCCAAGUUCAACGAGCACGGGAAGACCCUGAUCUUCCCAGCGGACGCCGAGCACCAGGACAAGGACUUCUGGGUGUUCAGGCGCUUCAUCCUCACCGGGCUGGUGCCGCCGUUCUCGCCCCCCACGCACUGAUGGAGUCGUACCAGCUGCAGGUGGCACAGCUCCACCCCACAUUGCUGUUCCUCCUCGCUACCUUUCAAUUCCUCUGUGAAGCGUUCAUGGGGAUGAUGCCGUCGGUGGCGCUCUUCCGCCACUAUUUCUACCCCCGGAUUGACAACACGAAAGCGAUGUCGUCGGGGGUGGUAUUUCGCGCCCGCGACCAGAUGAAGUCCGAGUUCAUCGUCCGGUCGGGAAAGAAGAUUGAGAAGGAGUGGCGGGGUGACUGGUGCUGGGUCAGAGUGGAAGACCCCCAAGAGUUCAUCUUCUCGCCCACAGAGUUGCCGCAACCCCACAGCGGCAGGCAAGACAGGUAUCACCGCGACGCCGAUCUCCUCCCCAUCAUGGAGAAGAUCAAGGCGCUGCGGCUAGCGGGGCUCACCGACGUGGACGUGGCGCGUACCUUCGCCAACCGGCGUAUUGCGCCGCUCCAACUACGCUCCCGGCCCACGUGGAUGUACACGGGUCCCGGGGAUAGAACACGCCUCCACCAGGACGGCAUGGAUUUGGAAACCCUCAAGACGUGGGUGAGGGGAAUCUCCGGCGAAACCUUCGAAUCAACGAGGUUCCCGCCGGGGGUCUUCUCCCUCCAUGCCGGUGUUGCGGCGCUCAACAACAUCGUCACCGCCUUCCCGCCCUGCAACGAGUGGGGGUUGAUGGAUGAUAGCCCCACUCGGGCCCUGCACGCUCCCCUACCAGCACCUCGCGGGAAGCAGGUGCUCGAGGAGAGUGGGGGCGAAUCCAAGACCAGCUGGCCCUCCCUCCAGUCGCUGGACGAAGAGGUGGGCCAGCCGGCGGCGUCCCAGGAAGUCAUCCCAGUGGACAACGAUGACGACGACAGUGACGACGCGCCCUGAUCGUGCGAAGAUCAAGGGCGUACGCUGCGGCUGCGGCCAUCUCCUCGGGUGCCACGGCGGCAUCUUCCCUAGCGGCGAUAUCCGCCCUGGCAACGGCCGCCCGCCGGUACCUCGGCCGCGACCACGUCCGCAGGGGCCGCCGGAGCCUCGGGGCGGCGACAUCCGCCCCAGUGGCGGCUGCCAGCGUCGCGGCGGCAGCUGCUCCGGUGGCGUCUGCUGAUGCCCCGUCGGGGACCAUCCGCGAUCCGGCAAUGGAUUCAGCAGCAACAGCCGCCGGGGAUGCGCCGGCCGCCUCCCUGGGGUCGGCCCCUGACGCCGUGGCAGCCCCGCGGGCCCCUACGGCGCCGCCCGCUCGGGGGGUCUUCCGGGGCUUCGCGCUCCGGCGCAACCCCCCGAGGACCAACUCGUCGGCGAGCACCAGCAAGAGGGGGAGGAGUGACUCCCCGCCCGCUACGCCGAGCAAGAGGGCGAGCGCGGACGCCGGCGGCGCCGCUGACCCGACCAUCACAGGGGCUAGUGGCGCUGUCAUCGCGCCCGCCGACAACCCAGCUCCAACGGGGGCGGGGCCUGUGACUGGUACGGCUCCUUCGCUCCUCCUCUGCUGCAUUUUUUAGUUGUUAGUUAACCAUACAAACAUACCUUCUUUUUCAGCAAGCAGCAGCUCACCCGUGGCAGGCCUCUCGGAAGCUCCCGCCGGCACGAGUGAGGCGGCGGAAGCCCGCCUCGCAAGUCCACCUGCCCUGCAAGGUAAUCGCUCUGGCUACCCUUGUCCGCUCUCGAUAACUCUUUUACUUGUCCAUCGUCACAUUCUUUGUUGCUGCAGGCCCAAACGCGCCCGUAUCGAGAGCGGACGCAAACAAGGUUGAUCUCGACUCCGAUGUCGAGAUCACGGGGGCGGUAGAGGAUCCGGCGUCAGCUCCCGCACCAGGCCCUGUCGCACCGGCGACAGCGGCAGUGGUGGCCACCGUCACCACCGAGACGGGGCUUGGCGACGCGCCAGGAGUUGCGGAUGCAGCUGGCGCGGACUCACCUGCCACCCAGCAGGGAAUGGCCUCUGCCAAGGGCAAGGAGGCUUCUCCAGCCCCGGGGUCCCCGGGCGUGGGUGAAGGGGGAGCCGUGGAGAGGGAACGGCAAGAGCUCUCCCGGCUGCGCGAGGAGACGCGCCUCGCCAGGGAGAAGGUGCGUCUAGCCCGGCAAGCCCUGGAGGACGCCGAGGAACCGGUCGUCCCGGAGGCCGAACUCCACCAGCAGCUGGAGGUCCAGAGCACGAAGCUUCAGGGAGAGCUGGACUCGCUGGCGGCAACCCUCGAGGCGACCAAGAAGGAGCACGCCGGGGUGCUCGCGGCGGCACAGGCCCGGCUAGACGAGAAGAGCGACCUGAUCGCCAGCUACUGCGGCGAGAUUCAAGGCCUUCGCGUCAAGCUGGAGGUGCAGGUCAAGGCCACCGAGGACACGGUGGGAGCUGCGGCCUGGAACGAGAUCCAGCUUGGCUCCGUCAAGGACAGAGCGGUUAGGCUUGAGACCGAACUGGCCGCUAUUCGGGAGGAGCUCGCCAAGGCCGGCAACUACAUUGCGGUCAAGACCGUGGAGCUUGCGGCACUGGAAGACAACCUCCGCAAGGCCAAGAAGGCCAUGCACAACGCUUCGCUCCCUCACGGCACGCUGAUCAGGCAGCGGCAAUUAGAAACCGAGAAGCUGGUGAAGAUCGCCCAGGCAUUGCGCGACUUGUUGCCCCGAUUCGAGCUGCAGGCCGCGACGGUGGACGGCUCGGACGUCUCCACCUUGAUCCCUUCUUCUCCCACCUGGUGGGGAAGCUUGGGGCUCUCGAUGUCUGGAUCGCCCAGUACGGUGCCAACGAAGUCGCCAACUGCGCCCCGGAGGUUGCCGGGACAAUCCUCCUGAGGACACACCUCCGGGACCCGGGGUUUCCCUUCGAGUCCCUGCUGGACGCCUGGUCGGACAGCGAGGACGAGCCCACGCACACCCAAGCGGUGCGCGGGUUCGUCGACGAGGUGGUCGAGCGGAUAUAGCGGAAGCCGGACCCCGAGCCGAAGAUGCCGGCAACUAGUUGCCGCAGCCCCUAGCCGUCCUUGCUGCUUUCCGAUGUAUCUCCUUUUGCUUGCUUUUUCCUCCAAGUGUGGCGUUUGGCGCCGUUGGAACAAUUAUUUUGUAAUUAGCUUAUGUAAUCGCUCAACACUUACUUAAUCAAGCUCUUUAAUUCGCUCAAUUCUUGUUCCUUGUUCCCGGUGCUGCCUCGCGGGGCGACUCCCCUAGCCUUUGCGUGUUUUGCCUUGUGUUACCGGGGACUCACGCGCCUCACCCUUGACCAGACCAGGGACCCGGGACGGACCCGUAGUGCCGACCUGGGGUCAAGUGGUAGCGGGGAGCCACUCCACUUGCGGGGUAACUACUCCAAGCCGUGCCCUUCCGGGACGGACCCGGGAAGCCACACGGGCAGCGCACUCCCCCCGCAAGCAUCCUUCUAACACUCCAGCUACGCGCAAGGUUCGGGGCCACACCUGGCGAGACAGCGUUCAAUUACGUUCAAUUCUUAGUGGGUUCGUCAUUUAGGUGUCAGUACUUAGCUUUUCGUUCAGUCUUGCGUCCGAAGCGUUCACUGGAGGCGCACUCCUAGCUCGUUAUCCCUGCAAAGUGCCUGACAAAGGGAAGUAGCAGAGACGCCGCGGCAACCCUCGCCCUUCUCCGAGGGGUGCAGCAGGGACACCAUGACUUCCUCGGCACCACCGCUGACCGCGGGCGACGAGGACGUCACGGCGUCCCCACAGCGGCCCUCGCUGCUUGGAACAAACCCGUCUGGGGGCUGCAGAAGGGACAUCGUGGCUUCCUCGCCGCCACCGCCGAAAGCGGGCGGCAAGGAUGCCACAAUGUUCCCGCAGCAGCCCUCGCUGCCUGAGAGCAAAACUGCUCGAGGGCCGUGGCAGGGACGCGGUGAUGGGCCGGAACGGACGGCGAACGCCGGCACCGGCGCCAUCACAGCGUCCUCGCAACGACCUGCGCCUAUAGAGGGGCUCUCUUAGGGGAAUACGGCAGGGACACUAUGAUGGUGCACCCGUUGGUAGGAGGCACCGAUGGCAUGCACCACCAUAGUGUCUCCGCGGCAGCCCUUGCUCCUUGCGGAGGUGUCCUCUGGAGGGAUGCGGCAGGGGCACUGCGGUAGUGCACCCGUCGGCGCCGGGCGCCGAUGGAAUGCACCACCACAGUGCCUCCGCGGCAGCCCUCUCCCAGGAGCCGCUCACUUGAGGAGGCACGGCAAGGGCACGGUGGCAGUGCACCCGUCGACGCGGGGCGCUGAUGGCAUGCACCACCACCGUGUCUCUGCGACGCCCCUCGGAGCGGGCUCGAUGGAACGAUGCGGCAAGGGCGUGAUGGCAGUGCACCCGUCGGCGCUAGGCACUGAUGGUAUGCACCCCCAUCGUGCCUCCACGGCACCGCCCGCCUUAACAGCCCCUUUCUCAGCUUCGCUCUGAGCCGUUCCAUGGCUGGGGCGCGCCUUUUAUAGGCGCGGGGGAGGAGCUUGCCACCGCGCGCGACGGAUCAGCGCAGCACCCGUGGCAUCCCUUCCUUUGAAAUGUGGUACAGUCUUCGCCACCCUGCAUGCCAAGUUGCUGUGACACACGUGGCGGCGCCCUCCCGAGUCAGGAGCCUCGGAGUGCGGCGAGUCCCUCAUGGUGCGGUCGUUCCGCACCUCAAGGCGCUGCUGCAUGCGGCGACCCGUGGGCAGCCCACGAGUAAUACAGUGCGCAAGAUUCCACUCUUUUCUGCAGAUUAGAUUCUUGCCAGGCCCGAGGUGCUGCAAUUUUUUUUCGAAAUUCACGAAAACACGCGAAAACACAGAAAGCAACACGAGUGAUCUCCUGCCUCCCAGCCCCCGGGCACGGAAGGGUUGAUGCCAAACUUGGAUGCGAGCAUUCUAUUUCCCAGCCGGGGUGCAUGUUGCGCGGAGCCUAGCAACUGCGUGUCCCGUGAUGCACAUUGCGGGUAACCCGGCAACUGCAUGUCCCAUGAUGCACGUCGUGGUUAACCCAGCGACUGCAUGCCCCGUGGCGGAGUGACCCGACAACGGGGUUUUCGCUUUCGAGGCUCCAGCAGCCCCCUGCUCACAACCAAGUAUGGAAAGACACUUUCGUGCACCAAAAGCAGGAGACUGAAGAAGGGGGAAACACACAAAUAAGCAAGGCAACUUUAAAGUUCAGGAACGAAACACUUAUCUUUAUUCACAAUAACUAGUGGUUUACACACGGGGGCUGCCCGGCUACGCUAGUUCGAGAGGUAUGCAUCAGCGGCAUCACCUGAGGGUCGGGCUCCGCCGCUUCACGGGUAGAACUUGCGCAAGUGCUCAAUAUUCCAACUAUUUGGCACUGGCAAGCCAUCUUCGGUUUCCAGCCGGAUAGCCCCCGGUCUGGUCACCUGCACUACCCGGAAGGGGCCAUCCCAUUUCAGAGUCAACUUGUUCCCGGCCUUCAUUCCUUGUAUCUGGCGCAGGACAAGGUCUCCGUUCUCGAGCCCCCGGGGACGGACUCGCUUGUCGUGGUAACGACGGAAUCCCUGCUGGUAGCGCGUGGCUCGCACAGCAGCCCGGCAUCGAAGCUCUUCGAUGAAGUUGAGAUCGUCCACCCUUUGCUCGUGUUGGCUGGUGUUGCCGUACGCGCGUACUCGGGGAGAUCCGUGCUUGAGCUCAAGGGGCAACACCGCUUCUGCCCCGUAGACAAGGGCGAAAGGAGUUUCGCCCAUUGCCCGACUAGGUGUGGUCCUGAUUGACCAUAGCACGGGCUGGAGUUCUUCAACCCAGUCUUUCCCGUGGCCCUUGAGCUUGUCAAAGGUUCUCGUCUUGAGCCCCUGCAGCACUUCUGCGUUGGCUCGCUCCGCUUGCCCGUUCCUCCUCGGAUGAGCAACGGACGCGAAGUGCAACUUGGUGCCCAUGCCCUCACAAUAGGCCUGAAACAUUGUGCUCGUGAACUGCAUGCCGUUGUCGAUGAUGAUGCCGUUAGGCACACCAAACCGGCACACAAUGCUUUUGAAGAACUUGAUCGCCGCCUGGGCGGUCACCUUCUGCACUGGUUCCACUUCUACCCACUUGGAGAACUUGUCGAUGGCCACAAACAAAUAUUCGUAACCACCAACCGCUCUCAGUAGCUUGCCGACGAUAUCGAGCCCCCAGACCGCGAACGGCCACGAGGAAGGGAUGACGUGUAGGGCCUGCGCCGACUGGUUGCUCUUCUUCGAGUGGAACUGGCACGCUUCGCACGUCUUCACCAGCCGCUCUGCGUCGGCCAGGGCCGUGGGCCAAUAGAAACCGUGCCGAAACGCCUUGCCGGCUAAGGCCCGGGAGGCCACAUGGUGUGAACAUGUGCCUCGGUGUAUCUCCUCCAGCAGCGCGCGGCCUUCGUCUUGCGGCACGCAGAUGAGCUUGACCCCGUUUGCUCGCCUGCGGUAGAGGUUCCCAUCCACCACAGUGCACAUUUUGGCUUGCCGCACUACUCGCUCCGCGGCAACGUCAUCUUCCAGGAGAGCCUCCCCUUUCAAGUAACGGGCGAUUUCCACCGCCCAGGGAGGGAUCUCCCUGCCAACGCAUGCCGCUAUAUCAGCGGCAUGGACCCCUGAUGUUGCGGGGGUUCCUUCGGUUGCCGGAGGGGCGUCCCCGGCAGCCGGCUCGGGGGCGACUGAAGGAGCCGCUUGCUUCUGGCAGAACACCCCUGCCGGAGGCUUCCGGCGCUCUGCUGCCAUCUUGGCCAGCUCGUCAGCAGUGAAGUUAUCCUUCCGCUUGACGUGCUCGAAUCGCAAACCUUUAAACUUACGUUCUAGCUUGCGGACUUCCUCCACGUGCGGUGCCAUCUGCGGGCAGUCGUAGUCCUUGUUCCCCUGGUUGAUCACGAGCUGGGAGUCCCCGCGAAUAACUAGGCGCUUGAUGUCGAGGGCGAUCGCCGCCCGUAACCCGGUGAGCAAGUCCUCGUACCGCCGUAUUAUUGGUGGAGUUCGGGAAAUUGAGCUGGACAGCGAACCUCAACUGGUCCCAUGUCGGUGACUCGAUGACGACCCCGGCGCCAGCUCCUUGGAGACUGAACGCGCCGUCGAAGUAGAGGACCCAGUGGUCCUCGUCCAGCUUGCCGGGCAGGCUGGUCUCCGGCUCAUUCUCUUCCACGCUCGUCGACGUCCAUUCCGCGACGAAGUCCGCCAAGGCUGUACUCUUGAUGCUCUUGGAGUUGGUGAAGUGGAGGUCCAACUCCGACAGCUCCAUCCUCCAUUCGGCCAACCUCCCGGUGGCUUCACUGUUGGUGAGGGCUCGCUCAAGGCACCACCGUGACGCGGUGCGCCUGAAAGUAGUGGCGCGGCUUGCGGGACGCAAGGAGAAUCCCCAAGAGGAGCUUCUGUACUUGCGGGUACCUUGUUCGCGCAUCGCGCAGCACCGUGCUGACGAAGUACGCCGGGUGCUGCACUAAUCGCUUCCGCGGUGCGGAAGCUGCCGGCUCGGGGGUGGUCCCUGGGCCCGAGGCGGUUGCUGGGGGCCGCUCAGCCCCCUGCCCCGCAGCCCCCCGGCUCGGAAGGGAUCCUUGGGGUAUGCACGAUUAAGAUUAGUAAAAUCUACACACAUGCGACGCUUGUUCCCUGCUUUAGGUACUACUACAGGGUUAGACAACCAAGUGGCGUACAGAAGUUCCCUGAUAGCCCCAGCAGCCUUGAGCUUGUCCACCUCCUACUUGAUGAAAUCUUUACGCUCUUGUGCUUGCCGCCGAAUCUUCUGCUUGACGGGGCGCGCGUCCGGGCGCACCGCGAGCCGAUGCUCAAUCACCUCCCUAGGAACUCCGGGAAGAUCUGAUGGUUCCCAAACGAACACGUCGGCAUUCUCCCGGAGGAAAGUGAUGAGGGCACUUUCCUAUUCGGCAGCGAGGUUCGCACCGACGAUGACGGUGCGUUCCUUGUUGCCGGCUUGGAGGGGCAGCUUCUUUACCUUGGCGGCCUCCUCCCGGAGCUUCUGCCCCUUGCCGGGGCGCGAGCUCGAGCCUGCGCUUCCCCCGGCAAGCUCUUGAUCGGCUUCUUCGUUGCCAGGGCAUCGCCCGGCGAGCUGUCGUCUCCGGCAGCGUCUUCAUCACCGGCGUCAGCCGUGGCGGCGGCCCUGACAACCUCGCCAACGCACCAGGCCGCGUCCUUGAGGUCGCAUCUGAUUGAGAGAACUCCAUAUACGGACGGCAUCUUCAUCACGCCAUAAGCACAAUGCGUAGCCGCCAUGAACUUGAUCAGCGCUGGCCGACCAAGGAUCCCGUUGUAGGGCAACGGGGUGUGUGCCACGUCGAACACUAUGUGUUCGGUCCUGAACGUUUCCCGAGACCCGAAGGUGACCGGCAACGUGAUGCGCCCCAGCGGGCGCAUGAUCCCAGGGUUCACCCCCCGGAACAGGUCGGUGGGCUCAGCUGCUCCAUUGGCAACUGGAGUUUCUCCACCAGCCUGGCGGACAGGAGGUUAAGCCCCGCUCCGUUGUCCACCAGUACCUUGGUCACCGUCAUAUUGCUGAUGAUUGGUGAGACGACGAAGGGUAUUACCCCUGAACCCAGCUGCCGCGCUGGGUGAUCGUCAACGCUAAAGGUGAUCGGCACAUGCCACCACCUCAGCGGCUGUUGCGGCUCCGCGUCCGGCAACAGCGCGCACACGUUGCGGGUGAGGCGCUUCACCGCGGCAUGGGAUGGGAGGGCAUAGGCUCCCCCAUGGAUGCAGGCGAUGCCGCGAGGCUCUUGGAAGCCCGGCUCGUCGCCACCAGUACAAUCGAACUCGCGCUGCUCCUCAGCGCGAGCCUUGUCGCGUCCCAGGGGAGGGAGCUCUCGUCCCGCGUGAGGCUGGCCGCGUCCCCCUUGGGGUUCGUCCCUGCCGGAACUGCCGCCGGCAGGCCUUGGCCCCGCUCUGGGGUCAUUCGGACAAUCUCGGGAGAGAUGCCCGAUGUCGCCGUAGUUGAAGCAGGCGCCAGCAGCACGGCGCUCCUCAUGGCGGUGCUCGCGCCGCUUCUUGAUCCCUUGCAGGAUGCAACAGUCCUGCGCGUCGUGGGUGGAGUUGUGGAUGGGGCAGCAGGACGGGUCACCCUGCUUGCCCCAGAACCACCACCCGGCGAGGUCUUCUUCGCAGGCCUCGUGGCAGGAGCCCCCGAGUCCGCAGCGAGAACCUGCUUCCCGCUGCGCUUGCGGGAACCCUUCUUCUGCGAACCAUCGCCUGGGCUCGUGGCAGCCAAGGCUGCCAGCUCGGGCGCUAGGCGCCCUUCCUCGGCCAUGGCGCACUUGUGCGCCAGGGCGUAUAGAUCCUGCGUCGUCCGGAUCCGAUGCGUGCUCAGCUUCUCGCGCAUCUUGGGGUCGCGGACGUUGAUGGCGAAGGUGUUGAUGAUGGCAGCUGCCUCCGCCUCUGGGAUAGAAUAGGAGAGAUUAGAGAAGCGGUUGACGACGCUCCGCAACGUCUCUCCUGGCUUCUGCACGAUGGUGUGCAGUUCCGCCAUGGUUCCCGGGCGCUUGUAGCCGCCCUAGAACGCGCUCACAAACUGCUCGUGCAGGUACGCCCAAGUGACGAUGAACCCGGCGGGCAGGUUGAGCAGGCAGGUUCUCGCUGAUCCUUUCAGGACCAUUGGGAACCAGUUGGUUCUGACCUUGUUGUCGGCGCCGAUGGCAUGCAUCCCCAACAUGUAGGUCAGGAAGAAAUCCUUGGGAUUCAUGGUCCUGUCGUACGUACCGAGCGUUGGUGCUCGGAACAUAUGGGGCCAUGUCACCCGCCGCAGCUCGCGCGUGAACGCGGUGUAGCCGUCCUCGAGGCCCAUGGGAGCGUCUUCCUGCUCCUGCGGGCGUUGGCGCUCUAUCUCGCGCCUGCGCCGGCGCUCUAAACGCUGGCAUAGAUCCUCUUGCUGGCGGGCAUCCCGCGUGAUGGUGGGUGAUGAGUCACCCCGCGUGACGGUGGGUGACGAGUCCGAGGACCCCUUCAGGCCCCCGUUUCCCUGGCCUCCCUGCGGAGGAGGGUUCUCCCCCUGCCGCGAGGCGCGGGGCGCGGAGACGCUCCGGGUUCUGCCUGUGGCCGGAGCCAACCGGGGCGCCCUCGCCUUGCGGCUGCUGAGCGGCUAGAGCGAGGAGCGCGUCCAACUCCUCGUCCCACAUCUCGUGCGCCGGCGUGCCUUGCUGCGGUUCAUACCGCACCAUGACCCACGCGGCGAUGAUGGCUUCCGCCGGGGUUCGUGCGGGAGGCAGCCGAUUUCCCGAACGGCUGCUGUCCGCUCUGGCCCCGGACGCCUCCGGGUGCGCGGGGUGUGAGCCCCCAGGCGUCACCCGCAACACGAUAUGCCCAUGGUGCCGCUGUUGCUGCUAAUCCUCGGCCCGCGACUCGACUCGCUGGCCAGUGCGGGCGGCACCAUGCCCGCUCGCGCGGCUGGCCCCGGCACUGGGGGCCGCCUGUCCCCUCAGCUGAUUGUCCGCAGAUGGCCGAGGAGGCGGGGGAGGCAGCUGUGAUUGCUGCACUCUCGAGGGCUUCGGGUUCUCCUGAGCCCCCGACGUGGGUCGCACGUCAUGCGACCGCGUGUGUGCCGCUGUGGCCUCACGCGAGUCUAUCCGAGGGUCACCAGCCCGCUUGGGAGGCAUGGUGGCCGGUCCCGUUGGCGAAGAAGACGAAGCCGACGUCGAUGCAAACACCGCUGCCGGUGGUCACCGGCGAGCUCUCCUCUAGCGACCCCUACCUGGCGCGCCAGAUGUCGUAGCACGGGGCUCCGACACCAGGGGCGUGCGGUCACGCCGAUCGUUCCGGCGAUCGCCGGCGUGGCCGAUGGGCCUACGCGACCUGCAAAGUAAUGUACACCGGAUGCAUGCAAGCUAAGAACACAUGCACACACGUUUUUACCCAGGUUCGGGCCACCCGAAGGUGUAAAACCCUACGUCCUACCUGUCUGAAUUGGUAUUGACUAUAGAUCAAGUGUUUACACGUUGCCGAGGGGAGGGUCCCCGGGCGUUCUCUUUCUGGCUAAGUGCUCUUCACUGCUUUAGGGUACUGCUAAUGGCCAAGGGUGAGUCCGUUUACCCGUCAGAUUGUGGAACCGUGGAACCCCUUGACCGCCGGCGGGAGUCCUCCUUUUAUACUGAAGAGGAUACCACAGGUGCCGCGGCGCAUGCAUUACAAGUGUCGAUCAGGGAGACCUGCAACUCCCCCUCGGUGAGCUGGUGGCGUGCAUGGGUGCCAACCUGCUGCUAGGGGUCUAAGACCCUAGAGGUAGGAUUGGACAUCCACUGUCACCUGAUUUGGACGGGGAAGGCCUCUCCUGUCGGCUCAUUUAAUGCGCCGUGUGCCUCACUCCUUGCCUUGGUGACACUGCGCAUCCGACGCCCGCCACGCGCCCGCGUGGCGCUGUUGCUCUGUCCGAUGGGCCCCACCUUUGUGGCGGGAGCCUGCGCCCGGGAACUCCUCCUCCCGUCAAGUCGCUCCCCGGGAAGCACCCAGGCCAAACACACCCCGGAACCCCCCUCCCGGGAAGCGGCUUCCCGGGAGCUGUCCAGCUCGAAGCCCCGCUAGCCCUUCCUGGCUGGUAGCUUGCCGGGCUGCUCAUGGCUGCUGCCUGGGACGAGAUCCUCCCGGGAACUCAAAGACGGGGCCCACACGUCGUGCAACGGUGGUACUCCGGGUGCCACUGGUGCGACAGGCCUGCACAACACAAAGAAAAACAGAAGAGAAGCCCCUCGGGCCGGAACUUCCGGCCCACGCAGCAGCAGCAAAAAAAGAGAGGGCCAAAGCUCCUCGGUCGCCGUCCCGUCUCCUCUCCGGCCCAUCUACACGCAAAUAAAAAAGAGGGGAAGGCAGGGCGGACCGCCGCCCGUGCUCGCCGGGUGUUCGACGAAACGCCCACACCCACGCCCGCACUCGUGCGCAUGCCGUUCCUGCACCGCGCCGUGCCCCCGUCCGCGCACGCGCUCGCGCACCUGCCGUGCCAGCGCCCCACUGUGCCCGUGUCCGCGCCAUGCCGCGAGCGCGCCCACGUCGUGCCAUGCUCGCACCGGAGUCGCGCCCUCGCCGCGCCGGGCCGCCCACGCGCCUACGCUGCGUCGUGCUCCUGCCUCGCCGCGCCCUCGCCCAUGCCGCGCCGUGUUCACGCCUCGCCAUGCCCAGGUUACACCAAGGCCGCGCCCGCGUCGCGCAGCGUCUCACCGCGCCGGGUCGCACAGAGGCCUCGCUCGCGUGAGACGUGCUCGCGUCCGCACCAACCCGUGCCCAUGCCCAUGCCAAGCCGCGACGCCCUGAAGGCAUUCGAAAGUAUGCCCGCAAGGCUCGCCGGAUCUAAAAAGCAUCAAAGCGAACGCCAUAAAGCUCCCCUCACCUUCACAAGAGCAAGAAAGGCGUGGCCGACAGCGAGGAUGUCCCGGAAGAACUUACAGGCACGACCGACCCCUCGCUCCAAGCGGCCUCGGGCGUGCUCCACGUCCCCACGAAGACUCGGUGAUGAGGAGCUUCCGCGCCCGCGCCUCGGCAACCAACACGAUCUCCGUCGAAGAAGGGAAGUAGCUAAUGCCCCUGCGGAGCUCCCUACUACACCAAGCCCUCGAAGGAAUGCCAGGCGCCGCCGAACGCGUCUUCGGCAUUGGGCAAGCCAAAGGAGUAUGGUGAGAAGCUCCACAGUGCCCAAGGUCUCCAUUUUAUAGGCCACCGGAGCCCCUAGGCAUCUGGGCCGGACCAAUGGUGCGGCGACACCUCGCCGUCCUUUUCACCAAGGAACAAGACAAGAAGAGGAAGAAAUGGGCAAGGGGAGCAUCCCCUUUUCCUAAAAGGAGGCCGGCCUGGUCGAAGAAGGGCGCCCCUCGCCCGGGCCCCACGUCCCGGCCGUGCCGGCGUCACCCCCGGUGACGAGCGUCACCUGCAAAGGCAAAAGCUUGGACCGAACGGUCCCUUCCCGUACGAAGGAGGAAGAUGACCUGUGGUUGUCCGAUCUAGGGUGCCUAGCCUCCCACGGUCGUCGGAUCUCCAUCACUUAAACCCGAACCAGUAUCGGGCCCAGCUGGGCCGUGGCCCAACAGUGGCCCAAGAAGCCGGCAUAAAAAAAAGGGAGGGGGGAACAGUGCGCCCGAAGGCGGCGCAGGUUCCGGCCCAGCUCACGUGGCCGGCUGGGUUCGAGAUUUUUGCAAAAAAGCCCGAGACUUUGGGAAAAUUGCCAAUAAAACCUCGGAAAAUUCGGGGAGGCCCGCAGGGCACCUCAUUUUUGCAAAAAAGUCCUCCGGGACACCGGAUUUCUCAUAGAGAGGUCCUAGGGUCCCGGUUUUUGCUAAAAUACCCCCCGAAAUUCGGUUUCUCGCAGGCAAAAUUGCCAUAGGCAUGGAAUUUCCCCGAAAUACCUCCAAGGCUCCUAUUCUCUGCAGGAAAACUGCCAAGUACCUAUGUUUCUCACAAGGAAGCUUGCCAGGGAAUUCAUCGAAGUCACCUUGACAAAUACAAGAACAAGGAAAAAGAAUCAAGAGUCCCGCAUCGAAGGUUGACCCGAUGGCAUUCUCAAUGCUUCCAGCUCAAGGGGGCUACUGUUGUAGUAAAAUAAAACCCUUAUAUGGGCCGAACCGUAAACCCUAUGUGGCGACGACUAAGUUAACAUUUCCCAAGCGUGAGUCAAGAUGCCCACGUGGCGUAGUACGUGGAAAAGGAAAACAAGUCAACAAGUCAAGUCUCUCAUGCCAUGAUCAAAGGAAGGAAUGAGUUAGAGUAUACAGUUCAUAUUCUUCCGUCAUUGAUAAACAGCUUGUUGGACAGUACUCAACACAAUUACCACAAAAUAUACAAACUCCGAAAUCAAUACUAUAAUUAAGCAAUUGUUUCCUUUUAACAGCCUUUUCAAAUCUCCAAUCCACAAUGGGGAGAUCUAUCGGACAUACGCGAACACAAACUUCACAAGCAAUACAUUUAUCAAAUUCAAAGUGGAUUCGUCCCCGAAAAAGCUCCGGUGUAAUUGAUUUUUCGUAAGGGUAGUGAAUCGUUAUAGGUAAACCAUUUGUGUGGGAUAAGGUAGUUAUGAAACUUUGACCAAUGUACCUUGUAGCACGUAUUGUUUGUUGGCCAUAACUCAUGAACCCAGUUACCAUAGGGAACAUAUUCUAAAUAUCUAUGAAAAAGGUAUGUUUCUUUCUCUUGUUUGAGAGAGCUUUUGUGUUGAAAAUAUUCUUACUGUUAUUCUAUUAUCUUAUUUAGAGUGAAACAAGUUGGGAAGAGGUUGUUAAUAAGAGAUUACCCAGGGAAAUAGGUAAAAGAAAUUUCCAUCCAAGAUUUAAUAACUGAUCGAUUCUCAUCCUGGGUAAAGUCCAUCUUAUUGUGAUAGAAAUGAAGAGAAAUAAAUAAGCUUUAGUUAAUGUAAUAAAGAUACCCAUUGUCAUUUCUAAAAUCCCAACUGCUUUAUUCAUUUGGAAAAAAUCAAAAAAGAAUAUAUAGGGAAUAGAUAAAUCCCACCCGCCUAAGUAGAGAACUGUUACAAAUAAAGAGGAAACUAAUAAAUUUAGGUAAGAAACAAGAUAAAAUAAACCAUAUUUUAUACCGGAAUAUUCGGUUUGAUAACCUGCUACUAAUUCUUCUUCUGCUUCUGGUAAAUCAAAGGGUAAUCUUUCACAUUCUGCCAAAGAAGAAAUUAGAAAAACCAGAAAACCUAUAGGCUGGCACCAAAUAUUCCACCCAAAAAAACCAUAUUUGGACUGUGCUUCAACUAUAUCAACUGUACUUGAACUGUUAGAUAAUCAUAGUCGAUGAUAACAUCACAGUUCCCACCGCUAUUCCAAAACCGUACAUGAAACCUUAGCUUCAUACGGCUUCUCUAUGAUCAGAAAAAGGGAAGGGCUGUUUCCUUUCGGUAUGAGCCUCUGGGGCGUAUAUAGAAUUAUUUUCUAGGCAAAAUAAAAUCGAUUGGAAAGCCCUAAAUUAGACCAAAGGAAUUCUGUCUGCUAGAAUAAGAGCGCUUCCGAAUUGAUCUCAUCCUUUAUAAUAUAAUGAAAAUUGUUCUUUGUUAAGUACUAACUUAAUCUUGGAAUAAAACACUCGUUAUAGGAAUUCUAUUAAUAAAUGGAAAGAAUUGGGCAUUAGUUCAGGAAGAAUUCUGUAUGAAUAUGGAUAGAGGAAGGAAAUAAUUAAUUUUUUUUUUUAUGUAUUGCAUUCUAUAUCUUUUGUCCUAUUCUUCUUUCCCCGGGGAGGGGUAUUUAAAAAGAAAAAAGAAAUAAAGGAUUAAUUCGUUCUUGAUAGCCAUUUCCUUAACAAGUGAAUGGAAACAUACUCUGGAUCGGAAUCCCAAGAAAGUACUACUUGAUCAUUUCCACUAAUUUCAAGUCCUUAUUAUGAUUCCUUUUAUGGGAAAAAUCUCUAAUUCUUAGAUUUCCCCAUUACUAAUCCUUUAUGUACUUUAGUGUUCCUGACCUUUCACUAACUUUUGAUGGAUUCUUUUUAUGUUUAUAAGUUAUAGUAAUAAUUAGGGAUAUUUUACUAAUGGAAUUCUAUAUCAUCCUUUCGUAAAUCCUUUAUUCUUGCCCGCUUCAAGACAUGAUGACUAAUUAAAAAAUAGCAAUCUUGGGGUAAAGAGUUUACACUACUUAUGUUUACUUCAAUUUUUUUCUUGUACGUAGGAAAUGAGAUUUUUUUUUUACUGCAAAUUAAUAAGCUGUUUUAUUUCACUCAUAUAGCUAUCUAGUUUAACUUACCAACCCGAAUACAGAAUAAGAAAAAGAAGAUAAAUAUUUAAUGGAUUUUAGAGGAAAAGGAUCCCAUUUUAACGAAUCACACGUAGAGAUAUUGCUAAUACACAAAAAGUUAAUGGUAUUUCAUAACUAAUCGAUUGAGCAGCAGCUCGUAGACUGCCUGAAAAAGAAUAUUUAUUAUUUGAGCUAUAUCCUGCCAUAAGAAGACCAAUAGGAGCAAUACUUGAAAUGGCAAUCCAUAAAAAAACACCAAUACUAAGAUCAGCUAAAGCAAAACGAUAUCCCAAAGGGAUCACUAAAAAACUUAAUAAAAUUGAUAUGACUGCUAUAGAGGGUCCAAUGCUAAAUAAAGGAAUAUCCCCUCGAGAUGGUAGAAUAUCCUCUUUUAAAAGUAGCUUAGUCCCAUCUGCUAUAGCUUGAAGUAGUCCUAGGGGACCGGCAUAUUCAGGACCAAUGCGUUGUUGGAUCGAAGCGGAUAUUUCUCUUUCUAACCAAACAAUUACGAGUACUUCUAUUGUGAUUCCCAAAAGAAGGGUCAAAAUGGGUAGAAUCCAUAUAAGUCCAUAGAUUUCUUUUAAUAAUUCUGAUUUCGAAAAAGAAUUGAGAGUUUCUACCUCUACCCUAUCUAUUAUCAUUUCAACGAUCAACUUCCCCCAUAAUGAUAUCUAUACUACCUAAUAUCGUCAUGAUAUCAGCCAAUUUCAUUUUUUUAACUAACUGAGGAAGAAUUUGCAAAUUAAUAAAACCGGGUGGACGAAUUUUCCAUCUCCAGGGAAAAAGGCCAUCAUCUCCUACUAGAUAAAUCCCUAAUUCACCUUUGGGGGCUUCUAUUCUUACGUAAAGCUCUUGCUUUGACAAUUCGAAAUUGGGUGAAGGUUUUUUACCAAGAAAUCGAUAUUCAAAAUCAUUACAUUCGGAAUUCUUUUCUUUCUUAAAGCGACGGACUUCUAAAUUUUCAUAAGGUCCUCCAGGAAUUUUCUCUACAGCUUGUUGAAUAAUUUUGAUAGAUUCUCUCAUUUCACCGAUUCGUACUAAAUAGCGAGCUAAUGAAUCUCCUUCUUUUUGCCAUUGGACUUUCCAACCAAAUUGGUUGUAAGACUCAUAAAGAUCUACUUUACGAAGAUCCCAUCGUAUUCCAGAAGCUCGUAACAUGGGUCCUGAUAAGCCCCAAUUUACUGCUUCUUCUCCGCUAAUAAAACCUACUCACUCAACUCGUUCCAAAAAAAUAGGAUUCUGUGUAAUAAGUUGUUGAUAUUCAACAACUCCCCGUAAAAAAUAAUCACAGAAAUCUAAGCAUUUCUCGAUCCAUCCAUAAGGUAGAUCGGCGGCUACUCCUCCGAUGCGAAAGUAAUUGUGCAUCAUUCGCAUACCUGUAGCAGCUUCAAAUAGAUCGUAUAUUAACUCUCUCUCUCUAAAAAUGUAGAAAAAAGGAGUCUGUGCGCCGAGAUCCGCCAUAAAAGGCCCAAGCCAUAAUAAGUGAGAAGCUAUACGGCUCAACUCUAACAUAAUUACCCUAAUAUAGCUGGCUCUUUGGGGUAUUUGAAUAUUUUCUAAAAAUUCUGGUGCAUUUACCGUUAUUGCUUCUGUAAACAUAGUAGCUAAAUAAUCCCACCGUGUUACAUAAGGUAAGUAUUGUAUAAUAGUUCGGUUUUCCGCGAUUUUUUCCAUUCCUCUGUGUAAAUACCCUAAUAUGGGUUCACAAUCAAUAACAUCUUCACCAUCGAGAGUAACGAUCAGUCGAAGAACACCAUGCAUUGAUGGGUGUUGAGGGCCCAUAUUGACUAUCAUGAGAUCUUUUCUUGUAAGCGGUAGACUCAUAUCCUUUCUUCCUUAAUUCGUUAUUCCAUGAAUUCCUCAAAACGAGGCUCAUCAAAAUGCAAAAUCUAAGACUACUAUAAGGCUACUAAAUAAAAUAAGUAAAAAAAUUCGAACGAUUAAAUUACUGCUCCCGAAUAUUCAAUUGACUGAUUAAUUUCUUAUAACGUACUCUAUUUUUCUUUGCCAAAUAAGCCAGCAAACGUCGACGUUUUCCCAAAAGUCUUCGUAGACCUCUUUCAGAUGAAAAAUCUUUUUUGUGUAAUUCCAAAUGUGAAGCAAGUCUCCGUAUCUUAUUGGUGAAAUUGAAUACUUGAAAUUCAACAGAACCUUUUUUUUCUUCUUUUUCUUCUUUAACCAUAAAUCCAAAGAUUUUUCUACCUCCUUCCUUUUUCAUGUAUUUUUCUAAUCAGGAAAAAUAAAACAUUAUGUCAGUUAUUUUGAAGUUAUUCUAAUCUUGUACACACAAAAAUUUGCAAUUAUUCAUCUACUACUGGAAUUUGGAUUUAUUUUAUCGAUGCAAAUUGGAUUUGGAUAGAAGGGUACAUUCUCUUAUUUUAGAUAGAAGAAACAUUUCUUCUAUCUAAAAUAAAAGAAUUUUGCUGAUUUUUUUAUUGCUAUAUCCAAUUUAUGGAAUUGAUACACCAUUUAAUUGAUAUCAUUUAGCAAAAUGAAACAUAGCAUAUGCAUCCAUCUUUGGGCUCGAGAAUUUCACGGGAUAGAGAUAUGGUAACUCGAAAUGAAUUGUGGAUACAUCUGUAUCCUUAACAUACUGAAACGAUUGCCAUUAUUUGUAUCAAACCAAUAGCGAUUCAUACAAGCUAAAUCUUCUAAUCAAUGGUGGGCCACUAAUGAAUUUUUUUGCAUAUGUAUUAAGACGCUUGGCCUGAUUUCAAAAUUGUCCAGAGUUUUAUAUGUUGUUUUCAUUGGAAAAUGACGGGUCUCCUUCCAUAACUUUCCAAUUACGAGUACGAGAAUUGAAAGAGAUGAAAAUUCUCAAUUAUCUACGGCGUCUAGGAGAUAGAUAGAAUAUUUUCAGGAACAAGAAAAUCGGAAGAAUCCUUCUCUCUAUUCACUACCAUUCCGCGUCUUCGACUUCUAUUAGUUUCUUUUCUUCUUUAAUGCAAUAGCUAUAGUUUGAUAUAAGAAUCUAUUUCUCAAAGUAAUGGAAACCAUUCUCUUAUAGGAAAUGGCUCGCAAAUCGCUAUUCCACCUUUUAGGUAUCGUGAAAAGUGAUACCUGUGAAGAUCGUGCAUUUCAGUCAAAUUCAGAUCCGUUUGUUUUUUCAGUCCAUGAUAUAACCAAAUUGGAUGGAUCUUCCACCCGUUUAGCUAAGAAAGAAUAGAUACAGAGGUGGAUAAUACAUCGAUAUGAAGAUCAUGAGCUGCCCCAUAAUGAAACCGCCAGUAGUCGCGAAUAUCCCCUUCUUCCCUAAUCCAAGAUUGGAGAAAGAAGAUCUAAGAGGGCCCUAUGGGGAAUGUGGUCAGAAAUCCUUAAUAGAGUCCGACCACAACGACCGAAUUAAUUAUCCUCAUCGAGAAACUUAGACUACUAAAUGGAAAAGAUUUGAAAAUCAUGGCAUGGGUCUCCUUUUUUUCUUUCUUUAGAGUUUUCUAUAUGCAGAAUUUCUCGAUGUUUUCAUGAGAAUUUCUUGACUUUCCAUAUAUAGAAAGAGAUAGACUAUAAAUGACAUCUCAUAUGUCAAUAAGACCAAAGGGAUGGAUAUUAAAUGAUAGGAAGUGCUAGGAAGUGAAAUAGAAUGAAAUAGAGCCACUUUGGGCUUCCCUAUGAAAUGAGGCAUGGAACGGAGCCACUAUGAAGAAAUUCUGGGAGUUACGAAAGAAGCUUCGGACCCAUAUUGUUCAUGGGUUGAGAGCGGGAGUUGAACCCUAGGAGGGGGAAUCCCCCCUUGUUCCUCAGUAGCUCAGUGGUAGAGCGGUCGGCUGUUAACUGACUGGUCGUAGGUUCGAAUCCUACUUGGGGAGAUUUGAUUCAUUCUUUAAUGUAAGAAUAAAGAAUUGAAUUAAAGGGCUUGCUUUGACCCUUAGGAGUAGGUAACCCGUUCGCUAUCCUUGUUUCUAUUUCUAUUGCAUUCUAUCUCAUUGUAUCACAUUCUGUUCUACGAUUCCACUUCGACAAAUGUGAUCUCUGACCGCGUGCUUGUUGAAGAAUGAGCCGGCGACUCAUAGGCAGUGGCUUGGUUAAGGGAACGUAACCCACCGGAGCCGUAGCGAAAGCGAGUCUUCAUAGGGCGAUUGUCAUUGCUUAUGGACCCGAACCUGGGUGAUCUAUCCAUGACCAGGAUGAAGCUUGGAUGAAACUAAGCAGAGGUCCGAACCGACUGAUGUUGAAGAAUCAGCGGAUGAGUUGUGGUUAGGGGUGAAAUGCCACUCGAACCCAGAGCUAGCUGGUUCUCCCCGAAAUGCGUUGAGGCGCAGCAGUUGACUGGACAUCUAGGGGUAAAGCACUGUUUCAGUGCGGGCUGCGCGAGCGGUACCAAAUCGAGGCAAACUCUGAAAACUAGAUAUGACCCCAAAAUAACAGGGGUCAAGGUCGGCCAGUGAGACGAUGGGGGAUAAGCUUCAUCGUCGAGAGGGAAACAGCCCGGAUGCAUACCAUGAUUUUUCUGUCUAUCAAUAACUGCAUGCAUUGCACGGUGAAUGUGAAGAAGUAAGCCAUUGUCGCGGCAAUAAUGAGCCAAAGUAGUAUUUGCGGUGAAUCCCCCAGUUAAGUAGUCAUGCAUUACAAUAGGAACACCUAAUUCUCUCGCAAAAACAGCUCUCUUCAUCAUUUCUUCACAUGUACCCGCAGUUGCAUUCAAGUAAUGCCCCUUGAUUUCACCGGUUUCCGCCUGUGAUUUAUAAAUAGCUUCGGCACAAAAGACAAAACGAUCUCUCCAGCGCAUAAAUGGUUGUGAGUUUACGUUUUCAUCAUCUUUGGUAAAAUCAAGUCCACCACGUAGACACUCAUAACACGCUCUACCGUAAUUUUUUGCAGAUAAUCCCAAUUUUGGCUUAAUAGUACAUCCCAAUAAAGGACGACCAUACUUGUUCAACUUAUCUCUUUCCACUUGGAUACCGUGAGGCGGGCCUUGGAAAGUUUUUGAAUAAGUAGGGGGAAUUCGUAGAUCCUCCAGACGUAGAGCACGUAGGGCUUUGAAACCAAAUACGUUACCUACAAUGGAAGUAAACAUGUUAGUAACGGAACCCUCUUCAAAUAGAUCUAAUGGAUAAGCUACAUAACAGAUCCAUUGACUGUCUUCCCCAGGAACAGGCUCGAUGUGAUAGCAUCGUCCUUUGUAACGAUCAAGACUAGUAAGUCCAUCAGUCCAAACAGUUGUCCAUGUACCGGUAGAAGAUUCGGCAGCUACUGCAGCCCCUGCUUCUUCGGGCGGAACCCCAGGUUGAGGAGAUACUCGGAAUGCUGCCAAGAUAUCAGUAUCCUUGGUUUCAUACUCCGGGGUGUAGUAAGUCAAUCUAUAAUCUUUAACACCAGCUUUAAAUCCAACACUUGCUUUAGUUUCUGUUUGUGGUGACAUAAGUCCCUCCUUACAACUCUUGAAUUAAGAAUUCUCACAAUAACAAGGUCUACUCGAUGUGAAUUAGGCGUAAAUGAAACUUUAGCAAAAAUCUCAUAAAAAAAAGAGAUAUUCAAUUAAUAGCAACUCAUUACAGAAAAUUGAGGGCAUGCUUAAGUUAAUUAAUAUUUUUCAUUCAUAUAUAAUGCGUACACCCUGUGUAUGUUCUAUCCUAUAGGAAUUCGAUAGGAAUUGAGUUGUUGUUAUGGUAAGUUAACACCGUUCGUUAUUAAACCAAGGAUUUGAUUUAACAAAUCCAUCAUUAUUGUAUACUCUUUGAUAGAUAUAGCGCAACCCAAAUCAAUCCUUAACCUUUUUUUUUACAAAUUAUUAAAGGGCCCCUUUCUUAUUUUGAAAAGAAAUACCUAACUAAAUACUAAGAAAAUUUUCUGUUGACAGCAAUCUAUGCUUCACAGUAGUAUAUAUUUUGUAUAGCGAAGUCCUAGAUAGGAAAGUAGAGUAGGCACAGAUCCUCCACAAAAGGAAAAAUCUAUCUUAUGAAAAAAAGAUUGAUUGAACUUUCCAACGGCCUCAUUCCACGAGUAAAGGGUUGAAAGGGAUUCGCUUGGGCAACGAAAUCAAGUCUUGUUCCCCUUUUUUCUCUUAUUGAAUUAACUAAUUGAUUUCCUUUUUACUUUUGGAUUUUUGGAUAUUUUUUUGGAUUUGGUAUUAUUCAACAAGAAAAAAAAAAUUCGACAAAUUCCUUUUUUUUUAUUAUGUGAUAAUUAUGAGAACCAAUCCUACUACUUCUCGUCCCGGGGUUUCCCCAAUUGAAGAAAAAAGUACAGGCCGUAUCGAUCAAAUUAUUGGACCCGUGCUGGACGUCACUUUUCCCCCCGGUAAGUUACCUUAUAUUUAUAACGCUUUGGUAGUCCAGAGUAGAGACACUGCCGAUAAGCAAAUUAAUGUGACUUGUGAGGUACAACAAUUAUUAGGAAAUAAUCGAGUUAGAGCUGUAGCUAUGAGUGCUACAGAUGGGUUGAUGAGAGGAAUGGAAGUGAUUGACCCAGGAGCUCCUCUCAGUGUUCCGGUCGGCGGAGCUACUCUCGGGCGAAUUUUCAACGUUCUUGGGGAGCCUGUUGACAAUUUGGGUCCUGUAGAUAGUAGUGCAACGUUCCCUAUUCAUAGAUCUGCGCCUGCCUUUAUCGAGUUAGAUACGAAAUUAUCCAUCUUUGAAACAGGUAUUAAGGUCGUCGAUCUUUUAGCUCCUUAUCGACGUGGAGGAAAAAUAGGACUAUUUGGGGGGGGUGGAGUAGGUAAAACAGUACUCAUCAUGGAAUUGAUCAACAACAUUGCUAAAGCUCAUGAGGGUGUAUCCGUAUUUGGUGGAGUAGGGGAAUGGACUCGUGAAGGAAAUGAUCUUUAUAUGGAAAUGAGGGAAUCCGGAGUAAUUAAUGAAAAAAAUAUUGAGGAAUCAAAGGUAGCUCUAGUCUAUGGCCAAAUGAAUGAACCACCGGGAGCUCGUAUGAGAGUUGGUUUAACUUCCCUAACUAUGGCGGAAUAUUUCCGAGAUGUUAAUAAGCAAGACGUGCUUUUAUUCAUCGAUAAUAUCUUUCGUUUUGUUCAAGCAGGAUCGGAGGUAUCCGCUUUAUUAGGGAGAAUGCCCUCCGCGGUGGGUUAUCAACCUACUCUUAGUACAGAAAUGGGUUCUUUGCAAGAAAGAAUUGCUUCUACUAAAAAGGGAUCUAUAACUUCGAUCCAAGCGGUUUAUGUACCUGCGGACGAUUUGACUGACCCUGCUCCUGCCACAACAUUUGCCCAUUUGGAUGCUACUACCGUACUUUCCAGAGGAUUAGCUUCCAAGGGUAUUUAUCCAGCAGUAGAUCCUUUAGAUUCAACCUCAACUAUGUUAUAGCCUCGGAUCGUUGGCAACGAACAUUAUGAAACUGCGCAAAGAGUUAAGGAAACUUUACAACGUUACAAGGAACUUCAGGACAUUAUCGCAAUUCUUGGAUUGGAUGAAUUAUCGGAGGAGGAUCGUUUAACUGUAGCAAGAGCGCGAAAAAUUGAGCGUUUCUUAUCACAACCGUUCUUUGUAGCAGAAGUUUUUACUGGUUCUGCAGGAAAAUAUGUUGGUCUUGCAGAAACAAUUAGGGGAUUUCAACUAAUCCUUACUGGAGAAUUAGAUGGCCUACCCGAGCAGGCUUUUUAUUUGGUGGGUAACAUCGAUGAAGCUAGCACGAAAGCUAUAACCUUAGAAGAGGAGAACAAAUCGAAGAAAUGAAAUUAAAUCUUUAUGUACUGACUCCUAAGCGAAUUAUUUGGGAUUGUGAAGUGAAAGAAAUCAUUUUAUCCACUAAUAGUGGUCAAAUUGGGGUAUUACCAAACCAUGCCCCCAUUAACACAGCAGUAGAUAUGGGUCCUUUGAGAAUACGCCUCCUCAACGACCUAUGGUUAACGGCGGUUCUGUGGAGCGGUUUUGCGAGAAUAGUUAAUAAUGAGAUCAUUAUUUUAGGAAAUGAUGCGGAACUGGGUAGUGAUAUUGAUCCGGAAGAAGCUCAACAGGCACUUAAAAUAGCCGAAGAUAACUUGAGUAAAGCUGAGGGUACGAAAGAAUUGGUUGAAGCGAAACUAGCUCUCAGACGAGCUAGGAUACGAAUUGAGGCUGUCAAUUGGAUUCCCCCAUCCAAUUGAAGACAAUCCAAUGGUUUAUAGUUGAUACAAAGAUAAAGGGAAGAGGGGUAGAAAAAGUUAUUAGAUAGCGAAGCGAAAUAAGCCCAAUGCUAUCUAGUAAUUUUUCUACCUACCUACCUACUAUUGGAUUUGAACCAAUGACUCCCGCCGUAUGAAAGCAAUACUCUAACCACUGAGUUAAGUAGGCAAUUUAUGAUCACAAAGGAAGACCCAUUACUUCGAUCGAUUAUAUAUCGAAUCCCUUUUCUAAGCAAUAACGCUUCCUUAUUGGUAUGUUAUAUACUAAACAGAUACAUAUUUAAAGAGAUACCCUCUGGCAUUAGAGAAUAUUCAUCUUGACAAUAAAUUAUCUAUAUGUUAAGAUAUCUCUGAUAAGGGCUAUAGCUCAGUUCGGUAGAGCAACUCGUUUACACGUGCGCCAAUGCUUUUCAAAGGAGCUUAUUAUGCAAUGAAUAUAAUGGAUCUUAUUGCAAAAUCAAUGUCUUACUUCAUAGAUUCGACAGAAUAGGAGAACAGUAGCCUGACAAAGAGUCAGUUCAGUCCGAUUCAGGUCCCCAUUCUGGUGCCUAAUCAAAUCGAACCCUUAUGGAUUUGCUAGUUGAUAAGGUAAAUAUCCAGCCCACUAAAUGCUAGGCGUAAUGAGGAUAAGGGCCUCCAAAAAACUUCUUUUCGUUCUAUGAACUUUAAGGUGUAUGAAGUCUCAUAGUUAACUCUUGCAGUGGAACGAUAGAGACUCCAUUUCACUUAGGUUGAUUUAAUUUAGGC
rnacentral:lncRNA from 1 species